AACGAACGCUGGCGGCAGGCCUAACACAUGCAAGUCGAGCGCACCUUCGGGUGAGCGGCGGACGGGUGAGUAUCGCGUGGGAACGUGCCCUUCUCUACGGAAUAGUCCUGGGAAACUGGG
rnacentral:rRNA from 1 species